rnacentral:rRNA from 1 species
GUGGAUUAGUGGCGAACGGGUGAGUAACACGUGAGUAACCUGCCCUGGACUCUGGGAUAACCCCGAGAAAUCGGAGCUAAUACCGGAUAGGACCUUUCCCCGCAUGGGGUUUGGUGGAAAGUUUUUCGGUCUGGGAUGGACUCGCGGCCUAUCAGCUUGUUGGUGAGGUAAUGGCUCACCAAGGCGUCGACGGGUAGCCGGCCUGAGAGGGUGACCGGCCACACUGGGACUGAGACACGGCCCAGACUCCUACGGGAGGCAGCAGUGGGGAAUAUUGCACAAUGGGCGCAAGCCUGAUGCAGCAACGCCGCGUGCGGGAUGACGGCCUUCGGGUUGUAAACCGCUUUUAGUAGGGAAGAAGGGCUUCGGCUUGACGGUACCUGCGAAAAAAGGACCGGCUA